CGUGAAUUGGGUAACUUGAAUAAAAGGCCUCUAUCUUUUCAGCCUAUUCGGUUGACAAGUUCAGCAAGGCGUUGAACAAACAAUGGAGUCUUUCUAAGCCCUGAUUCACAGACCUUGAAUCUAAGCUUUCACUUCAACAAAGGCAGGCCAUUUUUCUUCACUCAAAACCCACAAAAAACUUAUGGCUUCUGUUUCAUUAACUUUUCAUCGAACAUUUUAAACGCAAUUAUAAAACCUCACAUUGAUUUUUUCACAUUUAUGUAUGUUUUCUUCAAUGGAUUUGAGAAGGCUUUAGUCACCAAGCUUUACGCUCUUUGCAUCUCCGUCACGCGUCCCUUAACUCACGUGACCGCCACCGCUCCACAGCCGCAACAAGGCCACCAUUCUCAACCGCCUCCAUUGAAGCCCCAGAACCAUUCGGAUAGUUCUAAUCCAAAUUUGAUUGAUCUUGCAGGUAUAAAAUAAGCUUGUGGUAGACUGCGAGUUAACUGAUCAGUGGUGAAGGCAUAGGAAUUUGGAAUCUCUUUUAUGCUAUUUAAUAAAUUUAUCUUAAAAUUGACAUGUGAAACUGGAAUAUGUUAUUUAAUUAUUUGUUUUAAAUUUUAAUGUGACGUUCUGUUAUUUUAUUGUUGGUUGUCAAUUAAUAUUUGAUUUGUUUAUUUGAUUUUCAUAUGAAUUAUUAAUGAAAUUAAAUUAUUUAUGGAUUUCGAGUAAAUAAGGCUUGGGAUUUAUUUUUAAUUUUAAUUUUUUCUCAAUUCCAAAAAAAAAGAAAAAAUCCCUUCAAAGGACAUGACCUUUGAGGUGGGCUGUUUGAAUAUUCUUCUCUAGUACAUGGAAUGUGCAAUAUUGGCCUUGUUGAAGAUGCAAACAAUCUUUUGGCGAAAUGAGAAAGGAAGGUUUUUUGCCAAAUGUUGUUUGUUACACUGCACUUAUAGGUGGUUAUUGUAAGCUGGGUCAGAUGGAUAAAGUUGGAAAAGUCUUGCAAGAAAUGGCUUCAUUUAAUAUUUAUCCUAAUAAAAUAACCUACACUAUCCUGAUUGGUGGCUAUUGCAAAUUGGGUGAUAUGAAGGAAGCAGCUAAACUUCUAAAUUUGAUGGAAAAUAAAGGAACUUCACCAGAUGCCAUCACUUACAAUGUCUUCAUGGAUGGUUAUUGCGAGGAAGGGAAGAUAGACGAGGCUUUCAGAAUAUGUGAUCAUAUGUUUAGUAAAGGAUUAUCCUUAGAUGAAAUUACUUAUACUACGUUGAUUAAUGGGUGGCAGUCAUCGACAUUAACAAAUCAAGAAUAAUUGUGGAACUUUCAGGAGGUAGUUGCAUUACCCUAUAUUUACCUUGUCAUUGAAUCUGAGAAAGAUUUUUGGUCAACUUAUUUGAACACUAAUGUAUACAGACGGUCCAUGUUUUCAGAGGUUGAAUUCACUGUAUUUAACUUUUAUGUCUUAUCUUUCCUUGGAGAUUUGAAUGUUGAUGACACAACAGCACUCAUCCACUAUCCUUCUGGAUUCAAGAUAGGUUCUUAAAAGUCAAAUAGUUGAUGCACUUCCUAUAGAUUGAAUUUGCGCAUGAGAAACUUAUUGUCCUCGAUUACAAUGUAGACCAUUCCCAUUAUUAUUUCCUCCUUUCUGGUGGCUGGUCUUGUAAUGGGAAUAUAUCUUCAGGGUAUCUGCCGCAAUUGAUCUCUCAUAAAUGCUUCCCAAAUGAGAACUUUUUUUUUUUUUGUUUGGCUAAAAGCUAUAUUUUGCAACAU